rnacentral:misc_RNA from 1 species
UGGGAAUUUAUGACCUCGCUGAAUUCUUCCGCAUGGAAAAUAGGCCCGUACAUCUUAGGAAAGGCAAAUCCUAUAGGCAACCAUAACUUUUUCUGCUUUGAUGUGUUUCUACUUUGAUGUUACCAAUGAAUAUUGCGUGGAUAACACGUAUGUGACUAAAACAAUCAAGCAUAUUUUGAUUACCCAAACCAUUGCCAAAAUUAAUCAAAAAAGGAAAAAUUCCACAUUUCUUUUUUUUGGCAAAGGAGGAGCUAUGUAGAGCAAG